rnacentral:rRNA from 1 species
GAUGAACGCUGACAGAAUGCUUAACACAUGCAAGUCUUUGGCGAAGUUGUGCUUGCACAGCCUAGCCAAGGCGGACGGGUGAGUAACGCGUAAGGAACUUGCCCUGCAGUCAGGGAUAACAGACGGAAACGACUGAUAAGACCUGGUAAAGUCAGGCGGACUCAUGUCCAGCCUGAUGAAAAGUGAUGCUGCAGGAGAGCCUUGCGUCCUAUUAGCUUGUUGGUGGGGUAACGGCCCACCAAGGCGAUGAUAGGUAGCCGGCCUGAGAGGGUGGACGGCCACAAGGGGACUGAGAUACGGCCCUUACUCCUACGGGAGGCAGCAGUGGGGAAUAUUGGACAAUGGGGGCAACCCUGAUCCAGCAAUUCUGUGUGCACGAUGAAGGUUUUCGGAUUGUAAAGUGCUUUCAGCAGGGAAGAAAAAAAUGACGGUACCUGCAGAAGAAGCGACGGCUAAAUACGUG